rnacentral:rRNA from 1 species
AUUGAACGCUGGCGGCAGGCCUAACACAUGCAAGUCGAACGAGUGGCGGACGGGUGAGUAAUGUCUGGGAAACUGCCUGAUGGAGGGGGAUAACUACUGGAAACGGUAGCUAAUACCGCAUACCAUCGGAUGUGCCCAGAUGGGAUUAGCUAUUAGGUGGGGUAAAGGCGAACCUAGGUGACGAUCCCUAGCUGGUCUGAGAGGAUGACCAGCCACACUGGAACAGAGCCACGGUCCGGACUCGGUCGGGAGGCAUCAGUGGGGAAUAUUGCACAAUGGGCGCAAUCCGUAUGCAGCCAUGCCGCGUGUAUGAAGAAGGCCUUCGGGGUUGAAAGUACUUUCAUCGUGGAGGCGUUACCCGCAGAAGAAGCACCGGCUAACUCCGUGCCAGCAGCCGCGGUAAUAC